rnacentral:rRNA from 1 species
AGAGUUUGAUCCUGGCUCAGGAUGAACGCUAGCGGCAGGCCUAAUACAUGCAAGUCGGACGGGAUUUGGGAGCUUGCUCCCAAUGAGAGUGGCGCACGGGUGCGUAACACGUAUGUAACCUACCUUCUUCAGGGGGAUAGCCUCUCGAAAGAGAGAUUAAGACCGCAUAAAAUCACAAUGUGGCAUCACAAAAUGAUCAAAUAUUUAUAGGAAGAAGAUGGGCAUGCGGAACAUUAGCUAGUUGGUAAGGUAACGGCUUACCAAGGCUACGAUGUUUAGGGGAUCUGAGAGGAUGACCCCCCACACUGGUACUGAGACACGGACCAGACUCCUACGGGAGGCAGCAGUAAGGAAUAUUGGUCAAUGGGCGGAAGCCUGAACCAGCCAUGCCGCGUGCAGGAAGACGGCCCUACGGGUUGUAAACUGCUUUUACAGGGGAAUAAACCUCGAUACGUGUAUCGAGCUGAAUGUACUCUGAGAAUAAGGAUCGGCUAACUCCGUGCCAGCAGCCGCGGUAAUACGGAGGAUCCAAGCGUUAUCCGGAUUUAUUGGGUUUAAAGGGUGCGUAGGUGGCCUGUUAAGUCAGGGGUGAAAGACGGUAGCUCAACUAUCGCAGUGCCCUUGAUACUGAUGGGCUUGAAUAAACUAGAGGUAGGCGGAAUGUGACAAGUAGCGGUGAAAUGCAUAGAUAUGUCACAGAACACCAAUUGCGACGCAGCUUACUAUGGGUUUUAUUGACACUGANCACGAAAGCGUGGGGAUCAGACAGGAUUAGAUACCCUGNAGUCCACGCCCUAAACGAUGAAUACUCGAUGUUGCGAUUAUACGGUCAGCGUCUAAGCGAAAGCGUNNUAUCCACCUGGGGGAGUACGCUCGCNNNGAAACUCAANNNNGACGGGGCNNNNCAAGCGGAGGNNCAUGNNNNNNUCNAUNNNNNCNGAGGAACNUACCCGGGCU